rnacentral:misc_RNA from 1 species
GAACUGCGAUAAGUAAUGUGAAUUGCAGAAUUCAGUGAAUCAUCGAGUAUUUGAACGCACAUUGCGCCCCCUGGCAUUCCGGGGGGCAUGCCUGUCCGAGCGUCAUUGCUGCCCUUCAAGCCCGGCUUGUGUGUUGGGUCGUCGUCCCCUCCGGGGGACGGGCCCGAAAGGCAGCGGCGGCACCGCGUCCGGUCCUCGAGCGUAUGGGGCUUUGUCACCCGCUCGAUAAGGACCGGCCGGGCGCCAGCCGGCGUCUCCAACCUUUUUUUCUCAGGUUGACCUCGGAUCAGGUAGGGAUACCCGCUGAACUUAAGC